AUGAUAGUUUUUGGCUAAAUCGCAAUACGGCGAUAUUGUGAUAACACAUGACGUCACUAAGAUGUGCACCCUGCUGACAAUGGGACAACAGAAUGGCGGUGACUGCAAGCAUGGAGUGGGCGGAGGAGGAGGCCUAUAUGCCUCAAGUGGCAUAUAUUUGCCACAUGAGGAUAUCUAAAAGCAUGUCAAUUUGACAUCUAUAAACAGAUGAAAAAAUAUAUCGCAAUAUAUAUCGUUACUGCACAUGCUUCAGAUUAUAUCGCAAUAUAGAUUUGAGGCCAUAUUGCCCAGCCCUAUUCUUAUCUACACUCUUUUUUUUAAACUCCAAAGUCUUAAAACAAUAUAUUAAUUCUACUUUUAUUUAUUGUUUUCAUAACAGAAUAGAACUGUUAUGAAAACUUUGUCAGGCUGACGAAGUUUGCAGCCGCAAACAAAACGUUGCAGGCAAAUAAAACCCUUCUAUGUUUUAAAAAUAACUAAAAGUUGUUUUAUCCUUGUUCACAGGCUGGGAUCCUAAAGGGAAUUUCCAUCCUACUUGUGUGGCUGAAUGACAUCUUCAACCAAUUUUGGUACAUUUGCCAGAAAGCACAACAUCGUGAUAUGUUUAAUGACAUGUGGGUGGGUGUGCUUCACCAUGUCACAGGGAAGCAUGAAUGGACCCAUGGCAAAUGUGACCAUGGACCACUUGAUGCAACGACCAGUGAUAAAGAGCUCAUGGUACCAUGAUCUCCACCACACGAGGCUCUUCAACGAAUCAUGUUCAACAGACGCUGGUUGAAGGAUGUCACCAAUCUGACCUUUAGGUCAACUUCAGAACUGGAGAGUUUCCAGAAUUGCAUUCUCAUGUAAUCUAUGUAUGAUCUAAUGCUGCUGUUCUCUCUCCAUAAAGGCCCCAGAUACGUGAGGCAUCAAAAGACAGGAAUGACUUCUUUCAUGCACACAGAUUUAUUAGAAAUUAAGAAAAAAUACUAUGUACAAAUGCAAAUAACAGAACUUUUUUGUACAUAAAUAAAAAUAAAUAUAUUGCACAAACUGUUUGUUUAUUUUUGGGUGAAAAUGCAGUCUUCAGCUAAAGUUAUUUUGAGGUAUUGUGCUGUUUUGGAACUACUGUAGUUGUAGAUAAACGGUUUGGAUUUUUGGGUUAGGGUGCCCUCAGUCAGGAAGAUGGUGUCCUGGCGUCUCUUGCCGAAACUCCAGGAUAUCCAGCAUCACCCCUGGAAGACGGGUCACCACUCUCUCGAGAAUAUAAUUUCUCUCCUCCUGGCUCAGUUGUUGUAAAGCUGUCUAGGAAUUAAAGAGCAUAUGUUUACAUGACUAGAUUCAUAUCUCCAGUGAGUGAUGUUUUCAUUUUUGGCAUCUAUUAUUUUAUUUUAUUUUUUUACACAAAUGGCUACAACCAACCUGCAUCUCAGCUAUACUGGCAGCUCUCAGCUGUGCAAGCCGGUCUCGGUCCUCUUCUCUGAAAGCUGUUCGCUGCCUACACCAGCGCCCUGGUCCUCUUGAAGGAGCUCUGGACCUCAACCUGCUGCCCUCACCCCUUGAGCGUGUCCUUCCCCGACCCUCGGAGCGACCUUUUCCUCUCCCCUUUCCUUUAGCCCCUGGUCUUAGACUUUCCCACGACACAUCAAAGUCUGUGGCAGGCUCGGGCACACUCCAUCCGAACUGUCUUCCAUCACUGCUUCCAAUAUGAAUUCCUGAAAAUCAAUGACAGUAAUGAUAAAAAUGACUAUUACCCUGUAGGUCUUGUUGAUAUUAUGAUUUUAUUUUGAUGUAUUUUUGAACUAAGCAUUGAUAUUUAUGUUCUUAUUUACAUUGUUGUGAUGCCUGUCCUGUAAUGAAAUUGGUUUCACAAAUGAUGUCAGUGACUUGAAAUUGGAUGUUCUUACAUGAUGCAUAAACAAUAACAUUAGCUUGUUAGUAAGCUUAGUGCAAAAUAACUGUAACUGGUCUAAAAACAUCAGAAAUCACCUGCAGCCACAAAGCCUUGUGCUGAUAAAGUAGCAUCAUGUUACUGUCUUGCUCGCCUGUCACAAAACUGUCUUAUGAAAAUUUCAUAGGAAGGAGCGAUUGCUUUACAUCACGAGUGUCAUGGCUAAAUUAAAAAGCUAAUGUCAUGGAAUUUUACAAAUAUUAGACUAAAGUAACAAUGUUACUUACUUCAUCGCUCUACACGGUGCCUUGUUCGAGCCGCGCU